UGAAUGAGUAAAAGUAUAUAAUAAACAUAUAGAAAUAAAAAACAUUUUUUUACAUUAGUAAUUCAUUGUGUGCAUAAUUUUAAAUUGCUGUUGACAAUGAAUUAAUUAAAGCAACAAAACAACCUAAAGUGCCGGUGAAGAGUCGAAAGAGCCAGGUUUGGGGUUUUUUUGGAGAGGCGACCCGAAAGAGCCAGUUCUCUAAAAAGAGCUGGAAUUCCCAUCACUACAAGCGUAUUGUUGGGUAAUUGAUAGCGAGCUGAGCUGAGCUGAGCUAACUGUGUUUGUGUUUGCCUGUCUUCAGGAGGAAGGGCGAGACGGAGAGACUGGAGGAGAGAUUCACGGAGUUUGGGGAAUUUAUUGGACACUGACGCAUUACCACGCACCACGGGAAAAGGGAGAGUGCCACGAAGGAAGAUUUGCGCUGUGGAUUGUUGUUUACUCAUUUCCUCACAGUAAACCAUAGCGCUGAUCUACUAUACCAAGGGAUCCGAGUCUGGGUCCGCUAACCACUUCUGACAAGUACAACACAUCAGAUCGUCCUCCAUUCACAAAGCAGAUUUAAUCUUAACAGUGAUGGAAGAAGCAGCUACCAGAACAAGAGGGCGAACUUGCUUCAGAUUCAUCAAGUGCUUGUUUGUCUUUAUAAUUCUGUUCAUCUUAUCUCUUCUGUGCCUUAUUUUCAUGGCAAUCUGGGCCAAGGACCAAGUGUUUCAGCAAAUACUGAAAAGAGUAAGUGAAGACAUUGACAAACACAAGGAAGAUGGCGUGAAUAGAAGAGCUGCAAUCACAAAAAUAUUUGAUCUCGCAAAUUCACUGGAUAGCAACGAAAAACUGGAAAUAUUCAAGGAAACCAUUCAAACAGCGAUAGAACAGGAAGAGAGACUGAAGGAAGAAUCCAGGUACAAAAUGACAACCCUCUCAAAACAAUUCAAUGAAAAAAGGAAGGAAUUAGUUCGUGAAUUGGAAGAAGCAAUGUUAUUAUCACAUGAUUCUCCACCACUCCAGGAAAUAGUUGACAUUGCAUUUCACAUGUUGAAAAAAACCGGAGCUUACAUAGACAAGAAGCUGGAUUUGCUGCAAAAAUAGAGAACUCGGAAAAGAUAAAUCACAGGAGUAAAUGAUGAGCUUCAGAAAAUUGUAAGAGAAACAAUAAAUUGAACUUGUGUUUCUGUUUUCAUUUGUUGACCUAUGUAACGUAUAUCAUGUAUUUGUGAAAGGACAUAAUCUGAAUUGUUUUUGUGACUUUCUUUAAUUGUAUACUUCUUAGCUGCGUAAGAUCUUGUCCUAUAAUGUUCCCUGAGUGAUAUUAUAAAGUGAAAAGCUUCACUCCUGGUGUGAGGCCUCAGCAAGGCAGUGUAGGCAGCACAACUUGUCAGUUUUCUGCAGUUAUUUACGUUCCAGUGUUGCAGUUGUUUAGGCUGUGUUUAACUUCCUUAUCACAUAGAGACCAGAAAAAGGCAGACCUGCAUAGUGUAUGAUCCGUUCUGUUCUGAAACUAAACCUGAGGUUUCCAAAUCUAGCUAAUGCUUCCACAUGUAUGAUCUGGUGUUGGCAGCAUGUAACCAGUCACAGACAUGAACAGGUCUACUGGCAAGUUGUGCUCCCACCUCAUGGAUUCUCUGCUGACAGUAAUAAUAUUUUGAUCAUAUUUGCUAAUGUGAUCAAAACAAAACAAAAAUGUUUUGAUCACAUUACACAAGAAUAUUGAACACAUAAACACAUAUAGUACAUUGUAUGAGUGUGUGUGUGUGUGUGUGUUUGUUGAUGUUUAAUUUACUUCUUUACUUAGAAGCGUUUUUCUGAUUAGAAAAAUACUGCUACAGUGUAUACCAUUACAUAUUAACAUAUAUUAAUUUAGGUAAUAAAAAUUCUUGGUGAUUUAUGUCAAUUAAGGAUUUGUAACUGUGCAAACUGUGACAUUUAUGGGGAAAUAAAGCGGUUGUGGCUUCUUGGUUCUUAUAAACUUGAACGGUACAGUUCUGUCAUGAAAGUCCAAUCAGUAUCAAACAAUUACAAUUUGAGAUAUAUAAUUAUAUUGUUUAUAAUGGCCUUUUUUCCAUAAAUUUAGCAUAGCAUAUGGUCAUUUUUAAUGUGGUCAUUAUCUCAUAAUUAUGACAUAAUUCAUGAAAUAUAUGAAUGAUUAAUGGGUUAAGUUAUUUAGUUCAACACGAAGGUACUGACUAAGUCUCUGGCUUUAUGUCAUUGAAAGUUUAAUGUAUGGAUGAACUGAGCAGUUGUAAUCAUUGAUUAAAGAGGGUGAAAUUUGAAUAAUACAUAAAUAUAUUUAUGAAAAUCUCAAUCUAAACAUUUGUGAAUAUUUUUUGAGUGGUGUGUAUGGUGUGCUCAAUACACACCCAUGCAGUGAGCUAAUAUUGAGUAUGAUGAUGGAGGACAAGACACUGG
ensembl:lncRNA